UACGUAGGGGGCAAGCGUUGUCCGGAUUUAUUGGGCGUAAAGAGCGUGUAGGCGGCCAAGCAGGUCCGCUGUGAAAACUCGAGGCUCAACCUCGAGAGGUCGGUGGAAACCGUUUGGCUAGAGUCCGGAAGAGAAGAGUGGAAUUCCACGUGUAGCGGUGAAAUGCGUAGAGAUGUGGAGGAACACCAGUGGCGAAGGCGACUCUUUGGUCUGUAACUGACGCUGAGGCGCGAAAGCGUGGGGAGCAAACAGG
rnacentral:rRNA from 1 species